rnacentral:rRNA from 1 species
CCCUUAGAUGUCCUGGGCCGCACGCGCGUUACACUGAUGCAUUCAACGAGCUUAUAACCUUGGCCGAGAGGCCUGGGCAAUCUUGUUAACGUGCAUCGUGAUAGGGAUAGAUUAUUGAAAUUAUUAAUCUUGAACGAGGAAUUCCUAGUAAACGCAGAUCAUCAAUCUGCAUUGAUUACGUCCCUGCCCUUUGUACACACCGCCCGUCGCUCCUACCGAUUGAAUGGUCCGGUGAAGCGUUUGGACUAUGGUUUUCUGACGGUUCGCCAUUGGAUUACCGUGGGAAAUUCGUUAAACCUUAUCAUUUAGAGGAAGGAGAAGUCGUAACA